rnacentral:rRNA from 1 species
CGGCGUGCCUAACACAUGCAAGUCGUACGAGAAAGCCGGCUUCGGCUGGUGAGUAAAGUGGCGCACGGGUGAGUAACGCGUGGAUAAUCUGCCCUUAAGUGUGGAAUAACGUACCGAAAGGUGCGCUAAUACCGCAUAAUGCCUGGCAACACAAGUUGUCCGGCCAAAGAAGGCCUCUGUUUACAAGCUUUCGCUUCAGGAUGAGUCCGCGUACCAUUAGCUUGUUGGUGGGGUAAUGGCCUACCAAGGCUGCGAUGGUUAGCUGGUCUGAGAGGAUGAUCAGCCACACUGGAACUGAGACACGGUCCAGGCUCCUACGGGAGGCAGCAGUGAGGAAUAUUGCGCAAUGGGGGCAACCCUGACGCAGCAACGCCGCGUGAGUGAGGAAGGUUUUCGGACUGUAAAGCUCUGUCGAGCGGGAAGAAGUGUACCAUGGCUAAUAUCCAUGAUAUUUGACGGUACCGCUAGAGGAAGCACCGGCUAACUCCGUG